CUGCAUGUGAACCGAGGCCUGCAACUAGCUUGUAGCAGCAGGAGCUCCAACUUCAUGCAAGAAAAACUGAGGGGCUUUGACAGCUUUGGUUUUACACCUGGUUCCAUGAGCUGUCACUCAACCCUCCCACAACU